rnacentral:lncRNA from 1 species
AAUCAUCAUAAAGAAAAGAUUCAUUGUAGUUCCCUCAACUAGAUGGACCAUCAUACCAAAAUCUCUAAAUGAUAUCCAAUCAAAUCUCCCUAUCCUCGAAAAGAAAAUCCUAUAGAUCAUGCUAUGUAGUAGCUUCAACUCUGCAGGCAAAAAGUUGGCAUUGUCAAUGUCAAAAUUCUCCCCAAUAUUUUUGCCAAGAAGCCUUCUUAUACCAUCAAAAUUAUUCUAUAACUCAGCAGCUC